rnacentral:tRNA from 1 species
GGGGUUUUAGCUCAGUGGUAGAGCGUCUGCCUAGCAAGCGCAAGGCCCUGGGUUCGGUCCCCAGCUCCG